rnacentral:rRNA from 1 species
CCUACGUGGGACAGCAGUGAGGAAUAUUGGUCAAUGGUCGGGAGACUGAACCAGCCAAGCCGCGUGAGGGAGGAAGGUACAGAGUAUCGUAAACCUCUUUUGUCAGGGAACAAAGGCGGGGACGUGUCCCCGGAUGAGUGUACCUGAAGAAAAAGCAUCGGCUAACUCCGUGCCAGCAGCCGCGGUAAUACGGAGGAUGCGAGCGUUAUCCGGAUUUCUUGGGUUUAAAGGGUGCGCAGGCGGUCUGUUAAGUCAGCGGUCAAAGCCCGGGGCUCAACCCCGGCCCGCCGUUGAAACUGGCAGUCUCGAGUGGGAGAGAAGUAUGCGGAAUGCGCGGUGUAGCGGUGAAAUGCAUAGAUAUCGCGCAGAACUCCGAUUGCGAAGGCAGCAUGCCGGCUCCACACUGACGCUGAGGCACGAAAGCGUGGGUAUCGAACAGGAUUAGAUACCCAAGUAGUC